rnacentral:rRNA from 1 species
AUACGUAGGGGGCAAGCGUUAUCCGGAUUUACUGGGUGUAAAGGGAGCGUAGACGGCAUGGCAAGUCUGAUGUGAAAAUCCGGGGCUCAACCCCGGGAUUGCAUUGGAAACUGUCAAGCUAGAGUGCAGGAGAGGUAAGUGGAAUUCCUAGUGUAGCGGUGAAAUGCGUAGAUAUUAGGAGGAACACCAGUGGCGAAGGCGGCUUACUGAACUGUAACUGACGUUGAGGUCCGAAAGCAUGGGGAGAAAACGGGAUUAAAUACCCUGGUAUACCACGCCGUAACCGAUGAAUACUAGGUGUUGGGAGGAACUAUCCUUUCGGUGCCGCAGCAAACGCAAUACAUAUUCCACCUGGGGAGUUCGUUCGCAAGAAUGAAACUCAAAUGAAUUGACGGGU